rnacentral:tRNA from 4 species
CUACGGACUUAAAAUCCGUCGACUUUUAAAAUCGUGAGGGUUCAAGUCCCUCUAUCCCCC